CAAAUUAUAACUUAAAAUAAAGUGUUUUAUUUACAUUAAAAAUAUAUCGUUUAUAUCGAUUAAUUUGA
rnacentral:tRNA from 1 species